CGUAGGUGGCAAGCGUUGUCCGGAUUUAUUGGGUUUAAAGGGUGCGUAGGCGGCCCUGUAAGUCAGUGCUGAAAUAUCCCGGCUUAACCGGGAGGGUGGCAUUGAUACUGCAGGGCUUGAGUAAAGUUGAGGUUGGCGGAAUUGACGGUGUAGCGGUGAAAUGCUUAGAUAUCGUCAAGAACACCGAUAGUGUAGACAGCUAACUAAGCUUUAACUGACGCUGAGGCACGAAAGUGUGGGGAUCAAACAGGAUUAGAUACCCUGGUAGUCCACACUGUAAACGUUGAUGACUCGCUGUUGGCGAUAUACAGUCAGCGGCUUAGAGAAAUCGUUAAGUCAUCCACCUGGGGGAGUACGCCGGCAACGGUG
rnacentral:rRNA from 1 species